GUCAGUCCAGCAGGAGUGCUACAUAAUAAAGUUAAAGCCAGGCAGGUUUAAAUCAGUCGUUGGCUGUUUUACUUUAUUUAAAUGUCUCAUUCGCUCUAAUAAUUUCAGGGGAUAAUUAUGUGGAAUGUAUUUUUCUUUUCAACAAUGUUUAUCAAGAUACUAAAGUUCCCAGCUGGUCUGUUUGUGUUUAUCUCAAUAGCAACCAGACUUUGCCGGCAACAAAGCGACAUUUGUGAACUGUACUAUUUUUUUUCUUCCAUCUGCAUCUGUGUAUUUAAACAAAGUUUGCGUGGUUUAUGUAAUGUAACGAGAGUGGUAGUUACAAUUAACCAGCUAACUAGCUAAUCGCUAUUAUCGAGUUCCAAAAGCAGUUUUAGGUCCUCUGAUCAUGGCUAAAGACCCGUUGGCCGAAGCUUGUCUUCAUUUUGAUGAACUCAACAAACUGCGAGUACUCGAGCCUGAUGUGAGCCAGAAAACCAUUGCGCUCAAAGAGGAAUGUGAAGAUUUUGUUGACAAGAUAGGUCAGUUUCAGAAAAUUGUAGGUGGACUUAUUGAACUUGUGGAUGAGCUAGCAAAGGAAGCCGAAACUGAAAAAA